rnacentral:tRNA from 1 species
GGCUGUAGCUCAGUGGUAAAGUGCUUGCCUUGCACACGUGAGGUACUGAGUUCCAUCCUCAGUGCCA